rnacentral:rRNA from 1 species
GAGGAGCUUGCUCCUUUGACGUUAGCGGCGGACGGGUGAGUAACACGUGGGUAACCUACCUAUAAGACUGGAAUAACUCCGGGAAACCGGGGCUAAUGCCGGAUAACAUGUUGAACCGCAUGGUUCAACAGUGAAAGACGGUCUUGCUGUCACUUAUAGAUGGACCCGCGCCGUAUUAGCUAGUUGGUAAGGUAACGGCUUACCAAGGCGACGAUACGUAGCCGACCUGAGAGGGUGAUCGGCCACACUGGAACUGAGACACGGUCCAGACUCCUACGGGAGGCAGCAGUAGGGAAUCUUCCGCAAUGGGCGAAAGCCUGACGGAGCAACGCCGCGUGAGUGAUGAAGGUCUUCGGAUCGUAAAGCUCUGUUGUUAGGGAAGAACAUAUGUGUAAGUAACUGUGCACAUCUUGACGGUACCUAACCAGAAAGCCACGGCUAACUACGUGCCAGCAGCCGCGGUAAUACGUAGGUGGCAAGCGUUAUCCGGAAUUAUUGGGCGUAAAGCGCGCGUAGGCGGUUUUUUAAGUCUGAUGUGAAAGCCCACGGCUCAACCGUGGAGGGUCAUUGGAAACUGGAAAACUUGAGUGCAGAAGAGGAAAGUGGAAUUCCAUGUGUAGCGGUGAAAUGCGCAGAGAUAUGGAGGAACACCAGUGGCGAAGGCGGCUUUCUGGUCUGUAACUGACGCUGAGGUGCGAAAGCGUGGGGAUCAAACAGGAUUAGAUACCCUGGUAGUCCACGCCGUAAACGAUGAGUGCUAAGUGUUAGGGGGUUUCCGCCCCUUAGUGCUGCAGCUAACGCAUUAAGCACUCCGCCUGGGGAGUACGGUCGCAAGACUGAAACUCAAAGGAAUUGACGGGGACCCGCACAAGCGGUGGAGCAUGUGGUUUAAUUCGAAGCAACGCGAAGAACCUUACCAAAUCUUGACAUCUUUUGACCGCUCUAGAGAUAGAGUUUUCCUCUUCGGAGGACAAAAUGACAGGUGGUGCAUGGUUGUCGUCAGCUCGUGUCGUGAGAUGUUGGGUUAAGUCCCGCAACGAGCGCAACCCUUAAGCUUAGUUGCCAUCAUUAAGUUGGGCACUCUAAGUUGACUGCCGGUGACAAACCGGAGGAAGGUGGGGAUGACGUCAAAUCAUCAUGCCCCUUAUGAUUUGGGCUACACACGUGCUACAAUGGACAAUACAAAGGGCAGCGAAACCGCGAGGUCAAGCAAAUCCCAUAAAGUUGUUCUCAGUUCGGAUUGUAGUCUGCAACUCGACUACAUGAAGCUGGAAUCGCUAGUAAUCGUAGAUCAGCAUGCUACGGUGAAUACGUUCCCGGGUCUUGUACACACCGCCCGUCACACCACGAGAGUUUGUAACACCCGAAGCCGGUGGAGUAACCAUUU